rnacentral:rRNA from 1 species
CCUACGGGAGGCAGCAGUGGGGAAUAUUGCACAAUGGGGGAAAGCCUGAUGCAGCAACGCCGCGUGAGUGAAGAAGUAUUUCGGUAUGUAAAGCUCUAUCAGCAGGGAAGAAAAUGACAGUACCUGACCAAGAAGCCCCGGCUAACUACUUGCAAGCAGCCGCGGGAAUACGUAGGGGGCAAGCGUUAUCCGGAUUUACUGGGUGUAAAGGGAGCGUAGACGGCUGUGCAAGUCAGCAGUGAAAGCCCCGGGCUCAACCGCGGGACUGCUUUUGAAACUGGGGAUCUAGAGUGCAGGAGAGGUAAGUGGAAUUCCAGGUGUAGCGGUGAAAUGCGUAGAUAUUAGGAGGAACACCGGUGGCGAAGGCGGCGUACUGGACUGUAACUGACGUUGAGGCUCGAAAGCGUGGGGAGCAAACAGGAUUAGAGACCCGAGUAGUC